rnacentral:rRNA from 1 species
GACGAACGCUGGCGGCGUGCUUAACACAUGCAAGUCGAACGGAAAGGCCCUGCUUUUGUGGGAUGCUCGAGUGGCGAACGGGUGAGUAACACGUGAGUAACCUGCCCUUGACUUUGGGAUAACUUCAGGAAACUGGGGCUAAUACCGGAUAGGAGCUCCUGCUGCAUGGUGGGGGUUGGAAAGUUUCGGCGGUUGGGGAUGGACUCGCGGCUUAUCAGCUUGUUGGUGGGGUAGUGGCUUACCAAGGCUUUGACGGGUAGCCGGCCUGAGAGGGUGACCGGCCACAUUGGGACUGAGGUACGGCCCAGAGUGCUACGGGAGGCAGCAGUGGGGAAUAUUGCACAAUGGGCGGAAGCCUGAUGCAGCAACGCCGCGUGCGGGAUGACGGCCUUCGGGUUGUAAACCGCUUUCGCCUGUGACGAAGCGUGAGUGACGGUAAUGGGUAAAGAAGCACCGGCUAACUACGUG